rnacentral:tRNA from 1 species
GCGCCCGUAGCUCAGUCGGAUAGAGCACUGCUUUCCUAAAGCAGGGGUCGCAGGUUCGAAUCCUGCCGGGCGCA